UUUAUAUAUACACACUAUGGGUUUCAUUUGUGAUAGUGGCUGACAAGGAUAGCAUUAAUACAUUUUUAAACAUGUAUUCUCUUCAUUUGUUAGCGUUUAUCAUUUUGUUAUUCCUGUAUGAAUCAAAAAGUUUCCAAGAAGGAUUUUGUGGAAGUGUUGAAAAGACAUUGGUUUUGAGAAUAUGUACAAAGGACCGGAUGAAAGAUACAACGACUGCUUAUAUUGAUACCAUCGAGGCUCCCAAAUUUAGAAAUACAUCUUGUAAAUGUCGCAUAUUACCUUCUAUAAACAAA